AUGGAAAAUGGUGAUGGGAUUGUAGGUGGGUCUCACUCGAGUGAGGUUUUUGAGGAGAGGGUUCUAGAGGAUUCUAAUGGCGUCAGGGAUGAUGUGGAGGAAGAAGUGUUUGAGGAGGCGGUAGAGACCGGGGCUGGGGCUGUCGGUGACAGUCCUCGUGCCGAGGAUUUUGAAGAGGCUAUCGAGGUUUUGGAGGAGGCAGGGAAAAGCAAGGAGGAGGAGGGGGCUGUGGGGAAUGGUGGGGAGCAAGUAGAAAAAGUGGUGGGUGGGGAUAGUGUUGAUGUGGACGAGACUGUGAAGGAAUCAGAGACCAGUGAAUUGAAGGGAGUAGUGGCAGAGGUAGAGUUGGUGGGUACCUUAGAAGAUGCGGAAAAAGAUGUAUCCGAGGCUGGUGCUGAUGGACAAGUAGAAGUUUCGACAGUUGGGAAUGAGGAUGACUACAUGAAGUCUGAGAUACACGAUUCUAAAUCUAAUGGGUUGUUGGAUGUAGCAAACAAGGUUUCAGGGAUCGGUGCGGGUGGAGAAAUACCAAUUUUGACUGAUGUGGACGAGGUUGGUGUAAAUCCUGUUGAGGUUGCUGAGAAUGACAAGUCUGAGAAGGAAGAGCUGGAUAACUCAGUUUUGGAGGUAGUGCCUACAGAUGAAAAAUUGGAGAGUGACGGUGCUAAUCCUGAUUCUCCUAGAGUCACUGAAUUUAAUGUGGAAAUUUUGAAGGAAGCUGGAAAUGGUCAGGAAGUAAAGGGGAAUACCUCGAACACAGAUUAUCAAUAUGAGAAGACUGCUGGUGCUACUAUGAAGCUUGAAGAUGAUAAGGAUGUGGAAAUGCAAGAGAGAAAUAUGGAUUCUGAGCAUACAGAAUGUGAGAGUACUGACUCAAAAGAUGCUAUGUUUAUCACUGAAGCAAUGCAAGUGGAUAAUAAAAUUGAAGAACUGAGAGGCAGUUUGACUUGUACAGAUGCAGAAGAUCAAGACUUAAAGGAAGUGAAAAGUGUUUCAUCUGGGCUAGAUUUGGAGCAUGAUGUGGAAAUAUCUGAACUUAAAGGCUUUUCUUCAGAACAACAGCUGUCAGGGGUAGAAAGUCCUGUGGCAUCUGAAAUGGCCGCUUCAGCUGUUUGUGGAAGUCCUGCAACUGAGGACGGAGAGAAGAUUCAGGUUGGCGGCUCUGAUUUGAGAUCGGAGAAUAUCAAAGAUGAUGAACCUCGGCAAGGUGAGGUUGCUCAUGUAGUUUGCAACAAUGCUGCUGUGCCUGAGGAAGCUGAAAAGAGAGAAAACAAUCAUGUGGAGAAGGGUAGCAACAGAAUGAAUAGAGUGCAGGAGGUCCAGCAUGCACCAGCUCAUGGUUCCUCUAGAAAUUCUACAAAUCCCACUCCCCUUCCCGCUCGUCCAGCUGGCCUUGGGCGCGCUGCCCCGCUUUUGGAACCUGCACCUAGGGUGGUACAGCAGCCUCGGGUAAAUGGUACAGUAUCUCAUGUGCAAAACCAGCAAAUUGAGGAUCCCAUUAAUGGAGAGGCGGAGGAGUCAGAUGAGACUCGUGAAAAGCUUCAGAUGAUCAGAGUGAAAUUUUUGCGGCUGGCGCAUAGGCUUGGGCAGACUCCACAUAAUGUUGUUGUGGCUCAGGUUUUGUACAGACUGGGGUUAGCUGAGCAGCUACAUGGAAGAAGUGGGGGUCGUGUUGGUGCCUUUAGCUUUGACCGUGCAAGCGCUAUGGCGGAGCAGCUAGAGGCAUCUGGGAAUGAACCCCUUGAUUUCUCUUGUACAAUUAUGGUUCUUGGAAAGUCGGGAGUUGGUAAAAGUGCCACCAUAAAUUCUAUAUUUGAUGAAGUGAAGUUUAAUACUGAUGCAUUUCAGAUGGGGACAAAGAAGGUUCAGGAUGUUGUGGGUACUGUGCAAGGGAUUAAGGUAAGGGUCAUUGACACACCUGGGCUUCUACCUUCCUGGUCGGACCAGCGUCAGAAUGAGAAGAUACUGCUUGCUGCUAAGCGAUUUAUCAAGAAAACUCCUCCAGAUAUUGUGUUGUAUCUUGAUAGGUUGGACAUGCAGAGCAGGGAUUUAAGUGACAUGCCACUCUUGCGCACAAUCACAGAGAUCUUUGGGGCGACUAUAUGGUUCAAUGCAAUUGUGGUUCUGACUCAUGCUGCAUCAGCUCCGCCUGAGGGCCCAAAUGGAGCUGCUUCUAGUUAUGACAUGUUUGUCACUCAACGAUCUCAUGUUGUCCAGCAAGCCAUUCGUCAGGCCGCUGGGGAUAUGCGCCUUAUGAAUCCCGUUUCCUUAGUAGAGAACCACUCUGCUUGCAGGACCAAUCGAGCUGGCCAGAGAGUCUUGCCAAAUGGUCAGGUUUGGAAGCCUCAUUUGUUAUUGCUCUCUUUUGCAUCCAAGAUUCUUGCUGAAGCUAAUGCACUAUUGAAGUUGCAAGACAGUGCUCCUGGAAGACCUUUUGCACCACGAUCUAGGGCACCUCCAUUACCUUUCCUUCUUUCCUCACUUCUUCAGGCAAAACCGCAGUUGAAGCUGCCUGAGGAUCAAUUUGGUGAUGAUGAUGAUGAUGAUGGUGUAGAUGAUGAUCUGGAUGAGUCUACAGAUUCUGAAGAUGACUCAGAGUUUGAUGAAUUACCACCAUUCAAACGUUUGACUAAGGCCCAGGUGGAGAAACUCUCAAAAGCUCAGAAAAAGGCAUAUUUUGAUGAGUUGGAGUAUAGAGAAAAGCUUUUCAUGAAGAAACAGUUGAAGGAGGAGAAAAAGCGACGAAAGUUGAUGAAAAAAAUGGCAGCUGCAGCAAAGGAUCUACCAAGUGAUUAUGGUGAAACUGUAGAGGAAGAGAGUGCAAGUGCAGCAUCUGUACCCGUUCCCAUGCCAGAUUUACCCUUGCCUGCCUCCUUUGAUUCUGAUAAUCCCACUCACCGUUAUCGAUAUCUAGAUUCUUCCAACCAGUGGCUUGUAAGGCCUGUUUUAGAAACUCAUGGUUGGGAUCAUGAUAUUGGUUAUGAGGGCAUAAACGCAGAAAGAUUGUUUGUCUUAAAUGGCAAGAUACCCUUAUCAUUUUCUGGCCAGGUCACAAAAGAUAAGAAAGAUGCCAAUGUCCAAAUGGAACUAGCUAGUUCAGUAAAGCAUGGGGAAGGGAAAGCAAGUUCAGUAGGACUUGAAAUGCAGACUGUUGGAAAGGACUUGGCGUAUACUCUACGAGGUGACACAAGGUUCAGUAAUUAUAGGACGAAUAAAGCUAGUGCUGGUGUUUCAGUCACCCUCUUGGGUGAUGCUCUAUCGGCUGGGUUGAAAAUUGAAGACAAAUUUAUUCCUCAUAAACGGUUUCGGUUGGUUAUGACGGGCGGUGCAAUGACUGCUCGUGGGGACAUUGCUUAUGGUGGUAGUUUGGAGGCUCAGUUAAGAGACAAAGAUCAUCCACUAGGUAAUGCGCUAUCAACUUUUGGGCUUACUGUGAUGGAUUGGCAUGGAGAUCUUGCUAUUGGAGGUAAUGUACAGACUCAGAUUCCCGUUGGGCGACAUACAAAUCUUAUAGCUCGUGCCAAUAUAAAUAAUAGGGGAGCCGGACAAAUGAGCAUCCGCGUAAAUAGUUCAGAACAGCUUCAAAUAGCUUUGAUUGGUCUCAUUCCUCUGCUUAGAAAGUUGUUCACUUACCCUGAAUAGUUGCAGUAGGGACAAUGAUGAAAAUUAGAUCAAUAAUUGUGAAGCAGCAGCCUUGCGGAAAUAGGUCGUCAGCAAGAGUGAGCGAGGAGGUCAUAGUGUGAUGGUUCACCACAAGUGAGUGAUACUAAGCUGCUGGUCUUUACCCAUACCAAUCUGGAAGUACUGUUUCUAUUGAUCAUAGUGAGAUUUUUGAGCAUCUUAAUUAGAUACAGUUGGUUAAUUUUUGUUCUUGUUAAGGUACUGGACCAAAUGUUUGCUUAUUCUUGAAUCUGGCCUUUGUCUUUAUUCUCAAUGUGGGUGUGAAAAUUCGUUUAUAUAGGCAAAAGUAGUUCAGGCAUCUCUUCCAUUUCCUUUGCAUAUAAAAUUUCGCAACUGCGCAGUUUAUUAGCAUUUCAUCAAAUUG